UACGUAGGCAGCGAGCGUUGUUCGGAGUUACUGGGCGUAAAGGGUGUGUAGGCGGUUCUUUAAGUUUGGCGUGAAAUCUCCCGGCUCAACCGGGAGGGUGCGUCGAAUACUGAGGGACUAGAGUACGGGAGAGGAAAGUGGAAUUCCUGGUGUAGCGGUGGAAUGCGUAGAUAUCAGGAGGAACACCGGUGGUGUAGACGGCUUUCUGGACCGUAACUGACGCUGAGACACGAAAGCGUGGGUAGCAAACAGG
rnacentral:rRNA from 1 species